CCAGACUCCUACGGGAGGCAGCAGUCGGGAAUAUUGCGCAAUGGAGGAAACUCUGACGCAGUGACGCCGCGUAUAGGAAGAAGGUUUUCGGAUUGUAAACUAUUGUCGUUAGGGAAGAGAAAGGACAGUACCUAAGGAGGAAGCUCCGGCUAACUACGUGCCAGCAGCCGCGGUAAUACGUAGGGAGCGAGCGUUAUCCGGAAUUAUUGGGUUUAAAGGGAGCGUAGGCCGGUCUUUAAGCGUGCCGUGAAAUUUUGUGGCUCAACCAUGAGAGUGCGGCGCGAACUGGAGACCUUGAGUGCGCGGAAGGCAGGCGGAAUUCGUGGUGUAGCGGUGAAAUGCUUAGAUAUCACGAAGAACCCCGAUUGCGAAGACAGCUUACUAAACUGUGACUGACAUUGAUGCUCGAAAGUGUGGGUAUCAAACAGGAUUAGAUACCCGAGUA
rnacentral:rRNA from 1 species